rnacentral:rRNA from 1 species
UUCCAGCUCCAAUAGCGUAUAUUAAAGUUGUUGCAGUUAAAAAGCUCGUAGUUGAAUUUCGGGGUUAGUAGGCUGGUCAUGCCUCUGGUAUGUACUGGUCUCACUGAUUCCUCCUUCCUGAUGAACCGUAAUGCCAUUAAUUUGGUGUUGCGGGGAAUUUGGACUGUUACUUUGAAAAAAUUAGAGUGUUUAAAGCAGGCUAACGCUUGAAUACAUUAGCAUGGAAUAAUGAAAUAGGACGUUCGAUCCUAUUUUGUUGGUUUCUAGGAUUGACGUAAUGAUUAAUAGGGAUAGUUGGGGGCAUUAGUAUUCAAUUGUCAGAGGUGAAAUUCUUGGAUUUAUUGAAGACUAACUACUGCGAAAGCAUUUGCCAAGGAUGUUUUCAUUAAUCAAGAACGAAAGUUAGGGGAUCGAAGACGAUCAGAUACCGUCGUAGUCUUAACCAUAAACUAUGCGACUAGGGAUCGG